rnacentral:rRNA from 1 species
AACGAACGCUGGCGGCAUGCCUAACACAUGCAAGUCGAACGAGACCUUCGGGUCUAGUGGCGCACGGGUGCGUAACGCGUGGGAAUCUGCCCUUGGGUUCGGAAUAACAGGUGGAAACGACUGCUAAUACCGGAUGAUGACGUAAGUCCAAAGAUUUAUCGCCCAGGGAUGAGCCCGCGUAGGAUUAGCUAGUUGGUGGGGUAAAGGCCUACCAAGGCGACGAUCCUUAGCUGGUCUGAGAGGAUGAUCAGCCACACUGGGACUGAGACACGGCCCAGACUCCUACGGGAGGCAGCAGUGGGGAAUAUUGGACAAUGGGCGAAAGCCUGAUCCAGCAAUGCCGCGUGAGUGAUGAAGGCCUUAGGGUUGUAAAGCUCUUUUACCCGGGAUGAUAAUGACAGUACCGGGAGAAUAAGCCCCGGCUAACUCCGUG